GAAAUCAUCUGGAAAAGAGAAUAUCCCUCCUGCUUCUCCCCAUAGAACUCCUAUUGUGAUGCAAACAUUGGAUUCCACUCCUCAUUCAUCACCAAGGUCAAAGUUCAGUGGCUUCAAAGAAAAUAAAGAAUCAUCUCCUAAAGUCUGCCCAGAUAUCGAGAUUAUCGAUGAGACAACUUUAUCUGACACUGUCAUUCGAAUGACUAAAAGAUCUGAUGAGAUUUAUAAUUCCAAUCUUCAGAAAUCUGGAAACAAUGCAAAUAUAUCUUCAGGUGCUGGUUGUUCUGGCCAUCAUUUCAAUCAUCAGUUCUCUGUACUCUCUCAGCAACACAGGAGAUCUGAUUUAAUAACUGGUGGCAAAUUGCCUAUUCAUGGUCCGAGGAGGUUUUCAAAACCAGCCCCCAUUUCAAACAGUGGCUUUGUUCCUGCUUCUAACGUUUUUGCUAUUUCUAAGUCUGAGGUUGAGAAUUAUAACAUCAUUUGUAAAUUGGCUUCAUCUUAGUACCAAUGGUUUGUAUUCCAUUUAUAUCUUCAUUUGUUCAGUUUUUUUUUCUUGUUGCUCCUAAUGAAGCCUGCAGGCCUUCUUUGGUUAAGUCUUUUUCCAUGAUUUUUUUUCAAAUUCUUUUUUUCAGUGAGGAUGCUGUUAAUAUCUUUGGAGUUCGAUGCACGUUCUGGUCUCUUGGCGAUUCAUUGAAGCCUGGUGGUUUCGUCAAGUCUUUUGUUGUUUCUGCUUUUUGCUUCAGUCUGUUCCAAAAGCCCAAUGGCCAUCCUGACAGUUCAAAGAGGCAUUAUUUCUUCCCAAACAUUGCUUAUAAUCUGUUGAAGGACUAUGAUGAAGCAGAUCAACAGGUUUUGUCUCGUGCUUUUACUAAAUCUUCCAAAGCCAGACCUCUUAAUCAUUCUAAUAUGUUGUUCUAUCCAACUUGCUUCAAAGACCAUUGGUUUGUAUUCAUAGUCGAUCUAAAGGACAGAAAGUAUGUCAUCCUUGACUCUUUGCAUAAGCAAAAUGAUGAUUUUCAAGUUUUUAUUCGUGAA